AAUUGCAUUGACCAUAUUUUAUUAUGAAAACCCAAUUAUAAGCUUCUUAAGUACGGAUAGUACCUACAAUUGCGAAGAAAUUCCGUUAAUAGCCAGGACAAUUUAAAACCGCUAUGCUCUCCGUCAAUGUUGCAUUGAAAGUACAAGCUUUAAACGCACUAUAUUAAUGAACAGACAUCAGUAUUUGUAAAAUAAAUCAAGAUUAACUGUUUAUCUCAUUAAAAAUAUUCUAAAA